rnacentral:rRNA from 1 species
CUUGGUCAUUUAGAGGAAGUAAAAGUCGUAACAAGGUUUCCGUAGGUGAACCUGCGGAAGGAUCAUUAUUGAUUUUAAAAGAUGUGCUGGCUUUAUGGCAUGUGCACUCUUAACAAAACCAAUAUCCACCUGUGCACAAUCUGUAGGCAUUUGCCUAUGUCUCUUUACAAACAACCAUUGAUGUAUUUGAAUGCUUUAUAAAUAUUGUAAAACAACUUUCAACAAUGGAUCUCUUGGUUCUCGCAUCGAUGAAGAACGCAGCGAAUUGCGAUAUGUAAUGUGAAUUGCAGAAUUCAGUGAAUCAUCGAAUCUUUGAACGCACAUUGCACCCUCUGGUAUUCCGGAGGGUAUGCCUGUUUGAGUGUCAUUAAUCUCUCAACACAGACAGGUUUUACUGCCUGUUCUGUUGUUUGGAUGUUGAAGGCUUGCUGGCAGUCUGACUGUCAGCUCCUUUUAAAUGCAUUAGCAGAAAGCAUGCAGAACUGGCUUCAGUUUGAUAAAAACUUAUCUGUGUUGCUGUCGCCAGGAUAAUGCUAGUUGUUUCAGCUUCUAAUAGUCCCCUCUGGGACUGUCUCAUUGAGGCAUACACACUUGACACUUGACCUCAAAUCAGGUAGGACUACCCGCUGAACUUAAGCAUAUCAAUAAGCGGAGGA